rnacentral:rRNA from 1 species
UACGUAGGGUGCGAGCGUUGUCCGGAAUUAUUGGGCGUAAAGAGCUCGUAGGCGGUUUUGUCGCGUCUGCUGUGAAAACCUAAGGCUCAACCUUGGGCUUGCAGUGGGUACGGGGCAGACUAGAGUGCGGUAGGGGGUGACUGGAAUUCCUGGUGUAGCGGUGGAAUGCGCAGAUAUCAGGAGGAACACCGAUGGCGAAGGCAGGUCACUGGGCCGCAACUGACGCUGAGGAGCGAAAAGCAUGGGGGAGCGAACAGG